GGCCCACACAUGUUAGCCAGAUGGAGCCGGGAGCUCACAGGAAGGAAAGCCGCUGUCAGAGAGCCUGUGUGCCCCGGAGGGGGAGGGGGCGCCGGCUUCCUCUGACUCACUCGUGGGGUCUGUUUCCAAUUACGCGUCCCUGGCGCAGAGACCGCCGUGUGUGGAAGCUGGAGUCGGAGAGCAGCGGCGCAAAGCCCCAUGCGCUCCUCCGGCCCUGUGGGGGCCCGAGUCCUCUCCCCGCGGCCGGCAGCAUCCCCUGCCUCAGCCCCCAGGCCCCAGCCGUCAGCAUGUUUGCUCAGGGGUCAGCCUCUGAUGCAUGAUCUUCUGGAACUUUCCACUCCCUGAGGUCCUUCUAGUCCCUCAGGGACUAAGAUUUUG
rnacentral:lncRNA from 1 species